rnacentral:rRNA from 1 species
AUGGAUUAGCGGCGGACGGGUGAGUAACACGUGAGUAACCUGCCUUAGACAUUGGGAUAGCCUCGGGAAACCGGGAUUAAUACCAAAUAAAAUCAUAGGUGCCCAUGCACUAAUGAUCAAAACUCCGGUGGUCUAAGAUGGACUCGCGUCCCAUUAGCUAGUUGGUGAGGUAACGGCCCACCAAGGCGACGAUGGGUAGCCGGCCUGAGAGGGUGAACGGCCACAUUGGAACUGAGAAACGGUCCAA